GUGGGGAAUCUUGCACAAUGGGGGAAACCCUGAUGCAGCGACGCCGCGUGAGCGAUGAAGCCCUUCGGGGUGUAAAGCUCUUUCGGCAGGGACGAUUAUGACGGUACCUGAAGAAGAAGCUGCGGCUAACUACGUGCCAGCAGCCGCGGUAAUACGUAGGCAGCGAGCGUUGUUCGGAGUUACUGGGCGUAAAGCGUGCGUAGGCGGUGUCCUAAGUCUGGUGUGAAAUCUCCCGGCUCAACUGGGAGGGUGCGCUAGAAACUGGGAUGCUGGAGUGUGGGAGAGGUAAGCGGAAUUCCUGGUGUAGCGGUGAAAUGCGUAGAUAUCAGGAGGAACACCUGCGGUGUAGACGGCUUACUGGACCAUGACUGACGCUGAGGCACGAAAGCGUGGGGAGCAAACAGGAUUAGAAACCCGAGUAGUCC
rnacentral:rRNA from 1 species